UGCGCCGUAGCUCAGCGGAUAGAGCUCCUGGUUGCUACGUAGGUGGGUGGUUGGCACCCCUAUCUACGGCCAGGGAGGUCGCGGGUUCAAGUCCCGCCGGCGCAC
rnacentral:tRNA from 1 species